UACGGAGGGUGCAAGCGUUAAUCGGAAUUACUGGGCGUAAAGCGCACGCAGGUGGCUGAGUCAGUCGAUUGUGAAAGCCCUGGGCUUAACCUGGGAAUUGCAGUCGAUACUACUCAGCUAGAGUAUGGGAGAGGGUAGUGGAAUUCCCGGUGUAGCGGUGAAAUGCGUAGAUAUCGGGAGGAACAUCAGUGGCGAAGGCGGCUCUCU
rnacentral:rRNA from 1 species